GGUUCAUUGGUGCAGUGGAAGCACUUCGUUCAGACCAUCCGACAACCCCGGUUCGAAUUCGGGAUGAACCC